GAGAGAGAGAGAAGCGGAGGCUUCGGCGCGGGUGGAUUCGAUUUCGAGGGGCUCCAUGGGGGGAAGGGUGGAUUUGUUCUCCUUCUUCUCGCUGGGAGAUAAUGGCGAGAGCGACGGGAAGGGGGUGCCGGAGCAGGAAGGAAGCGGCUUUGUCUAGCUCGUCCGAAAGCCGAGCAGAGAGAUCAUUUUGUGCGGACCGCGUAAGAAGCCGUGUCCUAUUGGAUUAGCCGUCAUCUUUUACAUGGAUUCAAUCAUAGUUGAAGCUGGUUCUUAUCAAUAGUUUUCUUUUUUAUGUUUUGCAUAUUUCUAUAUGUAUGCCCUGGACCUGUUUAUACCUUGUAUGCCCUGGACCUGUUUAUAUCUUGUAUGAUCUGGACCUUUUUUGCUCUACACCUUUGUUGCAUGUUUCCCUGCUUCUCUUUUUCGUUGAUUGUAAGUACUCCCUCCGGCCAGAAUUACUUGUCAAAAUAUUAGAUGUAUCUAGACACGUUUUAAACAUAGAUACAUCCAUAUUUGGACAAAUUUGAGACAAGUAAUAUGGCUCGGAGGAAAUAACAAUACUCAUAUAUUAAUCAGUAAGAGAGAUACAGUAUAGAUAUAAGAAUUUGUAGUGUGUUGUGUUCAAAAGGAGAUGUUGGAACCAGAA